rnacentral:rRNA from 1 species
GUCUACGGCCACGCCACCCUGAACGUGCCCGAUCCCGUCUGAUCUUGGAAGCUAAGCAGGGUCGGGCCUGUACUUGGAUGGGAGACCACCAAGGAAGACCAGGUGCCGUAGGCG